rnacentral:rRNA from 1 species
AGUCGAGCGGACAGAAGGGAGCUUGCUCCCGGAUGUUAGCGGCGGACGGGUGAGAAACACGUGGGUAACCUGCCUGUAAGACUGGGAUAACUCCGGGAAACCGGAGCUAAUACCGGAUAGUUCCUUGAACCGCAUGGUUCAAGGAUGAAAGACGGUUUCGGCUGUCACUUACAGAUGGACCCGCGGCGCAUUAGCUAGUUGGUGAGGUAACGGCUCACCAAGGCGACGAUGCGUAGCCGACCUGAGAGGGUGAUCGGCCACACUGGGACUGAGACACGGCCCAGACUCCUACGGGAGGCAGCAGUAGGGAAUCUUCCGCAAUGGACGAAAGUCUGACGGAGCAACGCCGCGUGAGUGAUGAAGGUUUUCGGAUCGUAAAGCUCUGUUGUUAGGGAAGAACAAGUGCAAGAGUAACUGCUUGCACCUUGACGGUACCUAACCAGAAAGCCACGGCUAACUACGUGCCAGCAGCCGCGGUAAUACGUAGGUGGCAAGCGUUGUCCGGAAUUAUUGGGCGUA